GCCCGAGUGGUGAAAUCGGUAGACGCGGUGGAUUCAAAAUCCUCUUCCGAAAGGAGUGACGGUUCAAGUCCGUCCUCGGGCACCA
rnacentral:tRNA from 3 species